rnacentral:rRNA from 1 species
GACGAACGCUGGCGGCGUGCUUAACACAUGCAAGUCGAACGGAAAGGCCCUGCUUUUGUGGGGUGCUCGAGUGGCGAACGGGUGAGUAACACGUGAGUAACCUGCCCUUGACUUUGGGAUAACUUCAGGAAACUGGGGCUAAUACCGGAUAGGAGCUCCUGCUGCAUGGUGGGGGUUGGAAAGUUUCGGCGGUUGGGGAUGGACUCGCGGCUUAUCAGCUUGUUGGUGGGGUAGUGGCUUACCAAGGCUUUGACGGGUAGCCGGCCUGGGAGGGUUACCGGCCACAUUGGGACUGAGAUACGGCGCAGACUCCUACGGGAGGCAGAAGUGGGGAAUAUUGCACAAUGGGCGGAAGCCUGAUGCAGCAACGCCGCGUGCGGGAUGACGGCCUUCGGGUUGUAAACCGCUUUCGCCUGUGACGAAGCGUGAGUGACGGUAAUGGGUAAAGAAGCACCGGCUAACUACGUG